rnacentral:rRNA from 1 species
GAUGAACGCCGGCGGCGUGCUUAAUACAUGCAAGUCGACCGCACAGCGAAAGGUGCUUGCACCUUCCAAGUGAGUGGCGAACGGGUGAGUAACACGUGGACAACCUGCCUCAAGGCUGGGGAUAACGUUUGGAAACAGAUGCUAAUACCGAAUAAAACUCAGUGUCGCAUGACACAAAGUUAAAAGGCGCUUUGGCGUCACCUAGAGAUGGAUCCGCGGUGCAUUAGUUAGUUGGUGGGGUAAAGGCCUACCAAGACAAUGAUGCAUAGCCGAGUUGAGAGACUGGUCGGCCACAUUGGGACUGGGACACGGCCCAAACUCCUACGGGAGGCUGCAGUAGGGAAUCUUCCACAAUGGGCGAAAGCCUGAUGGAGCAACGCCGCGUGUGUGAUGAAGGCUUUCGGGUCGUAAAGCACUGUUGUAUGGGAAGAACAGCUAGAAUAGGGAAUGAUUUUAGUUUGACGGUACCAUACCAGAAAGGGACGGCUAAAUACGUGCCAGCCGCCGCAGUAA